rnacentral:rRNA from 1 species
UGGGGAAUAUUGCACAAUGGAGGAAACUCUGAUGCAGCGACGCCGCGUGAGGGAAGAAGGUUUUCGGAUUGUAAACCUCUGUCUUCGGGGACGAUAAUGACGGUACCCGAGGAGGAAGCCACGGCUAACUACGUGCCAGCAGCCGCGGUAAUACGUAGGUGGCAAGCGUUGUCCGGAAUUACUGGGUGUAAAGGGAGCGCAGGUGGGAUGGAAAGUUGGAUGUUUAAUCUACGGGCUCAACCCGUAUCAGCAUUCAAAACUAUCGUUCUUGAGUGGAGUAGAGGCAGGCGGAAUUCCAGGUGUAGCGGUGGAAUGCGUAGAUAUCUGGAGGAACACCAGUGGCGAAGGCGGCCUGCUGGGCUCUAACUGACACUGAGGCUCGAAAGCGUGGGUAGCAAACAGG